AUCCAACAGCGAUAAAGGCUUGCUGGACCUGAACGAGAUCGAGAAGGUUCUCACUGAUCCGAGAGCGGAUGACGUGAAAGUUAUCAUAAAAGUCAUUUUAAAAAAUAAAAUUGUUAAUAUAGUUUUUUGAAUAGUAUAAAUAUAUUUUUAUAUGCAUUAAAAAAAAUCAUUUUAACAAUUUAUUUAUAAUUUAAUAUUAAUAUUUUUUAUUUUUUUGAGAAAAAUUAUGUAGACGAUAAAAUAAAUCCUUGAACAAUCUAUUUUAAUACUUUGAGCUUUUUUUUUAUAGAUAUAUUGAAAUCACCUUUCUUUAACUGAAAAACUAUUUUGAUUUUUUACUUGGCUAUCUCUUUGAAACUGCAAAAUCAUUGGAAAAAAAGCUUAAAAAAGAGUUUUUUACUUUGGCUACUCUCCCAUUAGGGAUGCCCUUACAUUGUAUUACUGGGCAGAGCAGGAGGGUUUGUGUUCGUUGUUUUGGAUAUUGGUUGAUAAUGGUUUCUUUGGUGUUUAAGAACAACAUGUGUUAAGAUGUUUGUUGAUUUUUCCAAGCAUUAAGAUUCCCGUUCAUGUCUUGAGUUUUUUAUUUGCACGGGCAGGCUAAGCAAAAGCAAAAGGGUGCUCGGCGAAUGACCCUCCCCGGCGUAGAAGGGCAAGAGGGAGGAAAGUGGAUUGUCAUUAACUCCGGUAAGGUGAUAGUUCAUGUUCUUGAUGAGGAGGCUCGAGCAGACUACGAUUUGGAAAGUCUUUGGACCUCAGAAACAUCUAAAGAGGAGCCAGUUCGGGUAAAAUGUAAAUUCGAGGACUACAAAUUUUAAACCUUUCUGGUCUUUAUCUGAUUUUUUGCCUCUCAACACGCACACCCACCCACCAACAUGACAUUGUAAGCUGGGUUCUCUUCUUUAUCUAGAAGAUAGAGGAAUGCAUUAGCACGAAUCGAGAUUGUUAGUUCAAUUAUUUUUAGCUAUUCAGGAAAAUUCAAUAUGCAUUUAGCAGAAGAGAAAUCCAAGUAUAAAAAAGCAAUUGAGCUCCAAUCUCUAGCAAGAUGGUUUAAAAUUUUAUCCCGGUUUCUAGAGCGAGAGAUGUAUGCAAAUUUGAGAAUAAUCUAGCUAUAACUGCAUCUCUUUUUUCAAUCAUUUCCACCUUUUAUCCAUUUUGCGUCUUCUAAAUCUGACAGUGGCUUUCUGAGUGUUUUACCCGUCGGCUUGAAGGGGAGAGACAGAGUUAAGAGUUUUCUAACCAAUUUAAUGAGCACUCUGCACAAAAUAUUCUCUGUGGUUAAGUUGCUGAUUAAUGUAUUGGUCUUGUGGAGUUCUAUAAACUUGCAUAUACGUGUAUGUAUAAGUUUCUGCAUGUGUGUAAUGUUUUUUCUGCCUGGUUUUUGGACGGGAUAGGUCCAUGACUCUGUGGUCUGUGGGGUAAUCUAUUGAUAACUGUCAUCUUAGUUGUACAGCAAAUUGUUAGAAACUUAGAAUUCAAUCUCAAUCCUUAUUUGGAAUGGCUUCUUACCAUGACAGGGUUUCCAAACUUUUUUUUAAAAUUAAAUAAUGGUCGUUUAUGAAUAA